rnacentral:tRNA from 1 species
GCGUUGUUAGCUCAGCCGGACAGAGCAAUUGCCUUCUAAGCAAUCGGUCACUG